CACGUAGGGUGCGAGCGUUGUCCGGAAUUAUUGGGCGUAAAGAGCUCGUAGGCGGUGUGUCGCGUCGGCCGUGAAAUUCCCUGGCUUAACUGGGGGCGUGCGGGCGAUACGGGCAGACUGGAGUACUGCAGGGGAGACUGGAAUUCCUGGUGUAGCGGUGGAAUGCGCAGAUAUCAGGAGGAACACCGGUGGCGAAGGCGGGUCUCUGGGCAGUAACUGACGCUGAGGAGCGAAAGCGUGGGGAGCGAACAGG
rnacentral:rRNA from 1 species